rnacentral:rRNA from 1 species
UCGUCGCUUCUUUUUCCCCGGAGCUUGCUCCACCGGAAAAAGAAGAGUGGCGAACGGGUGAGUAACACGUGGGUAACCUGCCCAUCAGAAGGGGAUAACACUUGGAAACAGGUGCUAAUACCGUAUAACAAUCGAAACCGCAUGGUUUUGAUUUGAAAGGCGCUUUCGGGUGUCGCUGAUGGAUGGACCCGCGGUGCAUUAGCUAGUUGGUGAGGUAACGGCUCACCAAGGCCACGAUGCAUAGCCGACCUGAGAGGGUGAUCGGCCACAUUGGGACUGAGACACGGCCCAAACUCCUACGGGAGGCAGCAGUAGGGAAUCUUCGGCAAUGGACGAAAGUCUGACCGAGCAACGCCGCGUGAGUGAAGAAGGUUUUCGGAUCGUAAAACUCUGUUGUUAGAGAAGAACAAGGAUGAGAGUAACUGUUCAUCCCUUGACGGUAUCUAACCAGAAAGCCACGGCUAACUACGUGCCAGCAGCCGCGGUAAUACGUAGGUGGCAAGCGUUGUCCGGAUUUAUUGGGCGUAAAGCGAGCGCAGGCGGUUUCUUAAGUCUGAUGUGAAAGCCCCCGGCUCAACCGGGGAGGGUCAUUGGAAACUGGGAGACUUGAGUGCAGAAGAGGAGAGUGGAAUUCCAUGUGUAGCGGUGAAAUGCGUAGAUAUAUGGAGGAACACCAGUGGCGAAGGCGGCUCUCUGGUCUGUAACUGACGCUGAGGCUCGAAAGCGUGGGGAGCAAACAGGAUUAGAUACCCUGGUAGUCCACGCCGUAAACGAUGAGUGCUAAGUGUUGGAGGGUUUCCGCCCUUCAGUGCUGCAGCUAACGCAUUAAGCACUCCGCCUGGGGAGUACGACCGCAAGGUUGAAACUCAAAGGAAUUGACGGGGGCCCGCACAAGCGGUGGAGCAUGUGGUUUAAUUCGAAGCAACGCGAAGAACCUUACCAGGUCUUGACAUCCUUUGACCACUCUAGAGAUAGAGCUUCCCCUUCGGGGGCAAAGUGACAGGUGGUGCAUGGUUGUCGUCAGCUCGUGUCGUGAGAUGUUGGGUUAAGUCCCGCAACGAGCGCAACCCUUAUUGUUAGUUGCCAUCAUUUAGUUGGGCACUCUAGCAAGACUGCCGGUGACAAACCGGAGGAAGGUGGGGAUGACGUCAAAUCAUCAUGCCCCUUAUGACCUGGGCUACACACGUGCUACAAUGGGAAGUACAACGAGUCGCGAAGUCGCGAGGCUAAGCUAAUCUCUUAAAGCUUCUCUCAGUUCGGAUUGUAGGCUGCAACUCGCCUACAUGAAGCCGGAAUCGCUAGUAAUCGCGGAUCAGCACGCCGCGGUGAAUACGUUCCCGGGCCUUGUACACACCGCCCGUCACACCACGAGAGUUUUAACACCCGAAGUCGGUGAG